GGUCCAGUGGCCUAAUCGAAAGGCGCCAGUUUCCGGAGCUGGAGAUUGCGAGUUCAAGUCUCGUCUGGAUCG